rnacentral:rRNA from 1 species
CCUACGGGAGGCAGCAGUGAGGAAUAUUGGUCAAUGGACGAGAGUCUGAACCAGCCAAGCAGCGUGAAGGAUGACUGCCCUAUGGGUUGUAAACUUCUUUUAUAAAGGAAUAAAACGAGGCACGUGUGCCUUUUUGCAUGUACUUUAUGAAUAAGGAUCGGCUAACUCCGUGCCAGCAGCCGCGUCAUACGGGGGGUUCGGUCGUUAUCCGGGUUUUAUGGGUUAAAAGGGAAGGGAGAGGGGUUGUUAAGUCCUUUGGUAAAAUGUGCGGCUCAACCGUAAAAUUGCAAUUGAUACUGGCGGUCUGGAGUACAGUGGAGGUAGGCGGAAUGCGUGGUGUAGCGGUGAAUGCUUAGAUAUCACGAAGAACCCCGAUUGCGAAGGCAGCUUACUAAACUGUGACUGACAUUGAUGCUCGAAAGUGUGGGUAUCAAACAGGAUUAGAUACCCCAGUAGUC